rnacentral:rRNA from 1 species
AGCGUACACGGUGGAUGCCCUGGCAGUCAGAGGCGAUGAAGGACGUGCUAAUCUGCGAUAAGCGUCGGUAAGGUGAUAUGAACCGUUAUAACCGGCGAUUUCCGAAUGGGGAAACCCAGUGUGWUUCGWCACACUAUCAUUAACUGAAUCCAUAGGUUAAUGAGGCGAACCGGGGGAACUGAAACAUCUAAGUACCCCGAGGAAAAGAAAUCAACCGAGAUUCCCCCAGUAGCGGCGAGCGAACGGGGAGCAGCCCAGAGCCUGAAUCAGUGUGUGUGUUAGUGGAAGCGUCUGGAAAGGCGCGCGAUACAGGGUGACAGCCCCGUACACAAAAAUGCACAUGCUGUGAGCUCGAUGAGUAGGGCGGGACACGUGGUAUCCUGUCUGAAUAUGGGGGGACCAUCCUCCAAGGCUAAAUACUCCUGACUGACCGAUAGUGAACCAGUACCGUGAGGGAAAGGCGAAAAGAACCCCGGCGAGGGGAGUGAAAAAGAACCUGAAACCGUGUACGUACAAGCAGUGGGAGCACGCUUAGGCGUGUGACUGCGUACCUUUUGUAUAAUGGGUCAGCGACUUAUAUUCUGUAGCAAGGUUAACCGAAUAGGGGAGCCGAAGGGAAACCGAGUCUUAACUGGGCGUUAAGUUGCAGGGUAUAGACCCGAAACCCGGUGAUCUAGCCAUGGGCAGGUUGAAGGUUGGGUAACACUAACUGGAGGACCGAACCGACUAAUGUUGAAAAAUUAGCGGAUGACUUGUGGCUGGGGGUGAAAGGCCAAUCAAACCGGGAGAUAGCUGGUUCUCCCCGAAAGCUAUUUAGGUAGCGCCUCGUGAAUUCAUCUCCGGGGGUAGAGCACUGUUUCGGCAAGGGGGUCAUCCCGACUUACCAACCCGAUGCAAACURCGAAUACCGGAGAAUGUUAUCACGGGAGACACACGGCGGGUGCUAACGUCCGUCGUGAAGAGGGAAACAACCCAGACCGCCAGCUAAGGUCCCAAAGUCAUGGUUAAGUGGGAAACGAUGUGGGAAGGCCCAGACAGCCAGGAUGUUGGCUUAGAAGCAGCCAUCAUUUAAAGAAAGCGUAAUAGCUCACUGGUCGAGUCGGCCUGCGCGGAAGAUGUAACGGGGCUAAACCAUGCACCGAAGCUGCGGCAGCGACGCUUAUGCGUUGUUGGGUAGGGGAGCGUUCUGUAAGCCUGYGAAGGUGUGCUGUGAGGCAUGCUGGAGGUAUCAGAAGUGCGAAUGCUGACAUAAGUAACGAUAAAGCGGGUGAAAAGCCCGCUCGCCGGAAGACCAAGGGUUCCUGUCCAACGUUAAUCGGGGCAGGGUGAGUCGACCCCUAAGGCGAGGCCGAAAGGCGUAGUCGAUGGGAAACAGGUUAAUAUUCCUGUACUUGGUGUUACUGCGAAGGGGGGACGGAGAAGGCUAUGUUGGCCGGGCGACGGUUGUCCCGGUUUAAGCGUGUAGGCUGGUUUUCCAGGCAAAUCCGGAAAAUCAAGGCUGAGGCGUGAUGACGAGGCACUACGGUGCUGAAGCAACAAAUGCCCUGCUUCCAGGAAAAGCCUCUAAGCAUCAGGUAACAUCAAAUCGUACCCCAAACCGACACAGGUGGUCAGGUAGAGAAUACCAAGGCGCUUGAGAGAACUCGGGUGAAGGAACUAGGCAAAAUGGUGCCGUAACUUCGGGAGAAGGCACGCUGAUAUGUAGGUGAAGUCCCUCGCGGAUGGAGCUGAAAUCAGUCGAAGAUACCAGCUGGCUGCAACUGUUUAUUAAAAACACAGCACUGUGCAAACACGAAAGUGGACGUAUACGGUGUGACGCCUGCCCGGUGCCGGAAGGUUAAUUGAUGGGGUUAGCGCAAGCGAAGCUCUUGAUCGAAGCCCCGGUAAACGGCGGCCGUAACUAUAACGGUCCUAAGGUAGCGAAAUUCCUUGUCGGGUAAGUUCCGACCUGCACGAAUGGCGUAAUGAUGGCCAGGCUGUCUCCACCCGAGACUCAGUGAAAUUGAACUCGCUGUGAAGAUGCAGUGUACCCGCGGCAAGACGGAAAGACCCCGUGAACCUUUACUAUAGCUUGACACUGAACAUUGAGCCUUGAUGUGUAGGAUAGGUGGGAGGCUUWGAAGUGUGGACGCCAGUCUGCAUGGAGCCGACCUUGAAAUACCACCCUUUAAUGUUUGAUGUUCUAACGUKGACCCGUAAUCCGGGUUGCGGACAGUGUCUGGUGGGUAGUUUGACUGGGGCGGUCUCCUCCUAAAGAGUAACGGAGGAGCACGAAGGUUGGCUAAUCCUGGUCGGACAUCAGGAGGUUAGUGCAAUGGCAUAAGCCAGCUUGACUGCGAGCGUGACGGCGCGAGCAGGUGCGAAAGCAGGUCAUAGUGAUCCGGUGGUUCUGAAUGGAAGGGCCAUCGCUCAACGGAUAAAAGGUACUCCGGGGAUAACAGGCUGAUACCGCCCAAGAGUUCAUAUCGACGGCGGUGUUUGGCACCUCGAUGUCGGCUCAUCACAUCCUGGGGCUGAAGUAGGUCCCAAGGGUAUGGCUGUUCGCCAUUUAAAGUGGUACGCGAGCUGGGUUUAGAACGUCGUGAGACAGUUCGGUCCCUAUCUGCCGUGGGCGCUGGAGAAYUGAGGGGGGCUGCUCCUAGUACGAGAGGACCGGAGUGGACGCAUCACUGGUGUUCGGGUUGUCAUGCCAAUGGCACUGCCCGGUAGCUAAAUGCGGAAGAGAUAAGUGCUGAAAGCAUCUAAGCACGAAACUUGCCCCGAGAUGAGUUCUCCCUGACUCCUUGA